rnacentral:RNase_P_RNA from 1 species
CAAGCAGAUCGGGUGGUCGCGGGCGCGCAGCCCAGGUGCUGUGGCGCGCCUGAGGAAAGUCCGAACUCCACAGGGCAGGGUGCUGGGUAAUCCCCAGUGGGGGCGACCCCAAGGAAAGUGCAACAGAGAUGAGACCGCUUGCGCGUGUUGGGCCACACGAGGGUUCGAUGACGUGCAAGUAAGGGUGAAACGGUGCGGUAAGAGCGCACCAGCGGCCGGGCGACCGGUCGGCUAGGCAAACCCCACCCGGAGCAAGACCAAAUAGGAGGGACAUAAGGUGGCCCGCCUUCCCCUCGGGUACGGUCGCAUGAGGCCCGGGGCGACCCGGGUCCAAGACAGAUGGCCACCCUCGACAGGAUUCGGCUUAUAGAUCUGGUUGCUUG